GUAGUCUCGCACAGAUGCAUAUCAAUAAGCGGAGGAAAAGAAACUAACAAGGAUUCCCUUAGUAACGGCGAGUGAAGCGGGAAGAGCUCAAAUUUGAAAUCUUCAAGGGUUCUACCUUUACGAAUUGUAGUUUAAAGAAGUGUUUUCUGUUAGAUGAGUAGCAAAAGUUCCUUGGAAUGGGACAUCAUAGAGGGUGAGAAUCCCGUAUUUGGUUAUUCAUUCUAGCUUUGUGAUACGCUUUCAAAGAGUCGGAUUGUUUGGGAAUGCAGUCCAAAAUGGGUGGUAAAUUUCAUCUAAAGCUAAAUAUUGGCGAGAGACCGAUAGCGAACAAGUACCGUGAGGGAAAGAUGAAAAGAACUUUGAAAAGAGAGUUAAACAGUACGUGAAAUUGUCAAAAGGGAAGCGUUUGACACCAGUGUUGUUUUUCCGAAAAUCAAUUACGAAUGGCUUGAUUUUGUGUUGUAUUGACCUUAUCAGCUUUCUUCACUUUUUUCGAGUCUUUCUUAAUGCACUUUUCGGUUAACAAGUCAACAUCAAUUUCUUUUGUUGUAAAAGAGUAUUCGGAAGGUGGCUUUCUUUUCGGAGAAAGUGUUUAUAGCCCUAUACUUCUACAAUCGGAGAGAUUGAGGUCUGCAGCGUAGAUCCUUCGGGGUUAGAUACACUUGUGCUAAGUUGUAGCUUUUCAUAGACAACUUGUUGACUAUGUUUAGUCAUGCGGCUUACUCGCUUGUGCUAUUUUACCUACGCUUAGGAUGUUGAACUCUAUCACACACAG
rnacentral:rRNA from 1 species